CGAACUCAAACAGUUCCUCUGGCGCAGAGGAGGGUGGGCAACGACAACUCCGGAGGUGACAGCAGCUGCAGCUAGGCGAGGUGAGGCGGCUGUGAGGUCUCCUCUUCUAUCUUCAUUCUCAUGUGGUGCUUAAAUAUGAAACGCCUUUUUAACAUGAUAAAUGAUCUUCCAACAAUAUUUGAAGUUGUGACAGGGACGGCCAAGAAACAAGUGAAGGAGAAGUCAUCAGUCUCAUAUCACAGCAAUAGCAAAUCUAAGUCAAAUUCUAAGGGUUGAAGCCCAACAAAGUGUACUAUUAUCAAUGUGGAGACCCUUGUAUACUAGCAAUGAGUAAUGUGUCCUACAAAUGCAAUACAAAGAAGUGAUGGAAUUAUAAGAGAAAGAGUUGUGCUACUGUAAUUAUUAUU